UGACGGGGCUAGAACGUCACGACGCCUCUGAUCGACUCUCCGCGCUUCAUCAGAUCGAAUGCCUUGUUGAUGUCGUUCAGCGGCAUCACAUGCGUGAUCAUCGGAUCGAUCUGAAUCUUUCCCUGCAUGUACCAGUCGACGAUCUUCGGCACGUCGGUGCGGCCGCGCGCGCCGCCGAAGGCGGUGCCUUUCCAGACGCGGCCCGUAACAAGNNNNACGCGUUGCAAUUUCCGCUCCCGACGGCGCAACGCCGAUGACGAUCGAUUGUCCCCAGCCG
rnacentral:misc_RNA from 1 species